AUUGAACGCUGGCGGCAGGCCUAACACAUGCAAGUCGAACGGUAACAGGAAGAGGCUUGCUUCUUUGCUGACGAGUGGCGGACGGGUGAGUAAUGUCUGGGAAACUGCCUGAUGGAGGGGGAUAACUACUGGAAACGGUAGCUAAUACCGCAUAACGUCGCAAGACCAAGGAGGGGGACCUUCGGGCCUCUUGCCAUCUGAUGUGCCCAGAUGGGAUUAGCUAGUAGGUGGGGUAACGGCUCACCUAGGCGACGAUCCCUAGCUGGUCUGAGAGGAUGACCAGCCACACUGGAACUGAGACACGGUCCAGACUCCUACGGGAGGCAGCAGUGGGGAAUAUUGCACAAUGGGCGCAAGCCUGAUGCAGCCAUGCCGCGUGUAUGAAGAAGGCCUUCGGGUUGUAAAGUACUUUCAGCGGGGAGGAAGGGAGGAAAGUUAAUACCUUUGCUCAUUGACGUUACCCGCAGAAGAAGCACCGGCUAACUCCGUG
rnacentral:rRNA from 1 species